CACCCUUUUUUUUUUUUUGUCACAGCCCUCCUAAAAAGGUCUUGACACCCUAAGGGUACCCAGCCCACAUUUUGAGAACCAUUAAUCUAAACUACAUUGGAAAGCAAGAUACCUUUUGGGCAAAGGUCUAAUUUGCACAACUGACUGACUUUUCCUGGACUUAGAUUUCAAAAUAAUAAUCCAGAAUAACAUUCCUCACCAAGAGUCUUUGAAAAGAAGCCCCAGCAAGACAAGACAUCACACUUACUCCUUUAAAAAAAAAAAAAAAAAAAAUGAAGCCGGGCGUGGUGGCUUACGCC